UACGGAGGGUGCAAGCGUUGUCCGGAUUUAUUGGGCGUAAAGCGUCUGCAGGCGUUCCAGAAAGUUAUCCUUCAAAGACCGAGGCUCAACUUCGGAAAGGGGGAUAAUACUACUGGAAUAGAAUGGCAUCGGGGCUACUGGAACUUACGGUGUAGGAGUGAAAUCCGUUGAUAUCGUAAGGAACACCGAGGGCGAAGGCGGGUAGCUAGAUGCACAUUGACGCUCAGAGACGAAAGCUAGGGUAGCGAAAGGG
rnacentral:misc_RNA from 1 species